UACGUAGGGGGCAAGCGUUGUCCGGAAUCAUUGGGCGUAAAGAGCGCGUAGGCGGCCCUGUAAGUCCGCUGUGAAAGUCAAGGGCUCAACCCUUGGAUGCCGGUGGAUACUGCAGGGCUAGAGUCCGGAAGAGGCGAGUGGAAUUCCUGGUGGUAGCGGUGAAAUGCGCAGAUAUCAGGAGGAACACCGAUGGCGAAGGCAGCUCGCUGGGACGGUACUGACGCUGAGGCGCGAAAGGCGUGGGGAGCAA
rnacentral:rRNA from 1 species